rnacentral:rRNA from 1 species
AGAGUUUGAUCCUGGCUCAGGAUGAACGCUGGCGGCGUGCCUAACACAUGCAAGUCGAGCGAAGCGCGCCCCGGAAUCCUUCGGGAGGAAGGGUCGCGACUGAGCGGCGGACGGGUGAGUAACGCGUGGGCAACCUGCCCCAUACAGGGGGACAACGGCCGGAAACGGCCGCUAAUACCGCAUGAUUCCUCUUGGCCGCAUGGCCGGGAGGGGAAAGCCGAGACGGUAUGGGAUGGACCCGCGUCUGAUUAGCUGGUUGGCGAGGUAACGGCUCACCAAGGCGACGAUCAGUAGCCGGCCUGAGAGGGCGACCGGCCACAUUGGGACUGAGACACGGCCCAAACUCCUACGGGAGGCAGCAGUGGGGAAUAUUGCACAAUGGGGGAAACCCUGAUGCAGCGACGCCGCGUGAAGGACGAAGUAUUUCGAUACGUAAACUUCUAUCAGCAGGGAAGAAAAUGACGGUACCUGACCAAGAAGCCCCGGCUAACUACGUG